rnacentral:rRNA from 1 species
UGAGGAAUAUUGGGCAAUGGACGAAAGUCUGACCCAGCAACGCCGCGUGGAGGAUGAAGGUCGUAAGAUUGUAAACUCCUGUGAGGAGGGACGAAAGAUUAAGUUUCGUAAGGGACUUAAAAUGACUGUACCUUCAGAGGAAGCCCCGGCUAACUACGUGCCAGCAGCCGCGGUAAUACGUAGGGGGCAAGCGUUGUCCGGAUUCACUGGGUGUAAAGGGCGCGUAGGCGGGUUAGUAAGUUAGAGGUGAAAUCCUACGGCUCAACCGUAGAACUGCCUCUAAUACUGCUAAUCUUGAGUGCAGAAGAGAGAAGCGGAAUUCCAGGUGUAGUGGUGAAAUACGUAGAUAUCUGGAAGAACACCAGUAGCGAAGGCGGCUUCUUGGUCUGUUACUGACGCUCA